CGCAACCCGCAUCAUCUUCUUCUCUUUCCUCUAAAUUCUCUCGAUAUGCAGCACCCCUUAUCUUCUCUGCAGAAAAUCUUUAUGUUUCCUCAGUUCUUCUUUCAUUCCAGCAAAUACCCACAAAAAAAUAGAAGUCCUCUUCCUCUUUCGUUUUCGGCUAACAGCAAAGGCAAGAAGAAGAUAGCACUCAAACCAUUUCCUUCCCAUUCGGACAGCAGCAAAGCUGCAGUACGACUUUCCAUUCCUUACCGCCUCUUCAUCUUCUUCUGCAGAAAAACAGAACAGAAAAGGGGAAGAAAAUCCCUUCUCUCUGCCACGGCCAGUAGCCAUAGAAGCCUCUCUCCUUUUCUUUCUCAGUCGGUCUACACCCAAAAUAGAGCAACAGCUCCUUCCUUCUUGAAGCUGCAGAAAAAUCCUCAAAGCAAAAUCAAACCUUUUGCUCUCUCUCUCACACCGUAAAUCUCUCCCUCAAGUCCCUUGUUUUCCUUUCCCUGGGUGUGUGCGUGUAUGUGUAAGAAAACAAAAGAAAGGAGAAGAAGUGUGUGUUCGGUAGGUGUAAGGAAAAGAUAAAAGAAAAGAGACUAAAGGAGAAAAGAAAAAGACAAGAAGAAAAGCACUUUAGAUGGACCCACUUUCCGCUCUCUCCCGUAAAAGUUCGACCCUGAUACUAAUGGAAAGUCCAGAUGACAACCGUAAGACGAAGUCUUUUUCUUGUAAGGGCGUAGACCUCGCUGAGAGCGAUUGUUCGUGAUGAACCAGCCAAACCCUAAUAUUGUAUAGUAUGAUUUGUUCCUUUUGGAGUUCAUGAUUUUGUAUAGAUUUAUAAAUAGAAAGGUUUAAGAGAGUAGAAGUUUUAAAUUUUUAGUUGUAAAUGCACGCUUUUAUUUAAAAUGUUUGUUUUUAGCACUUAAACUCACGUUUCCCUUAUAUCCCAAAACGGGGGCGUGACAGCCAUUAACGAGGUAGUAUCU